AUGUUCUUUUUUUUCAACAUAUACAUCGGAAAGUAUUUAAAUAGUUGGCUGAAGAUAGUUGCUAAUAAAAUGGCGCAUGGUGAAGGGUCUGUUCCUUCCAACGAACUAUCAAUUUGUCAGUUAGCUGAGCGGCAUCUAUAUGAGCCUAAUACUAGUGAAGAGGUCAACCUAGUGAUCAAACAACAGGUGCUCGCACAUGCGGAUUUGACGCACCAUCCUCGUGGUUGGAAUGUGGGGUCUACUCUUAGUGACUAUUCUUUUCAUCCACUAGCACCUUAUCCUAAACCUGAUCAUGAAGCCUACACCCUAGGGACCAGGAUGGUAGCAAAAGGUCUAGGUUGGGAUGGUCACACAGUCGAGUAUGUUCCGCAACCCAAAGGCUAUGUUGAGUGGGGCAUCUCUAUAUUGAAUGACUACUCGUUUUGUUUGAAAGGAGAAGCGGAGGACACCGAUUACAUAUAUGGGGCCAUUUAUUGCUCCCUCGGUGAAUAUGAAGUUUCAGAUUCACUACUAAGGUCACUACUAGAAAGAUGGGAUCCACAAACAAAUACUUUUUUUUUCAUCUGGUGA
rnacentral:rRNA from 1 species